UACGGGGGGGGCAAGCGUUGUUCGGAAUUACUGGGCGUAAAGGGCGCGUAGGCGGCCUGCUAAGUCGAACGUGAAAUCCCCGGGCUCAACCCGGGAACUGCGUCCGAUACUGGAAGGCUUGAAUCCGGGAGAGGGAUGUGGAAUUCCAGGUGUAGCGGUGAAAUGCGUAGAUAUCUGGAGGAACACCGGCGGCGAAGGCGGCAUCCUGGACCGACAUUGACGCUGAACGGCGAAAGCUAGGGGAGCAAACGGG
rnacentral:rRNA from 1 species